GUCGAACGGAGUAGCAAUACUCAGUGGCAGACGGGUGAGUAACAUGUGGGAAUCUUCCCUUUGGUGAGGAAUAACACGAGGAAACUUGUGCUAAUACCUCAUAAGUCUUUACGGAGAAAGCUUUAUGCGCCAAUGGAUGAGCCCGCACUAGAUUAGUUUGUUGGUGGGGUAAUGGCUUACCAAGACAGUGAUCUAUAGCUGAUCUGAGAGGAUGAUCAGCCACAUUGGAACUGAGACACGGUCCAAACUCCUACGGGAGGCAGCAGUAGGGAAUAUUGCACAAUGGAGGAAACUCUGAUGCAGCGAUGCCGCGUGAGUGAAGAAGGCCUUUGGGUUGUAAAGCUCUUUCGUCGGGGAAGAAAAUGACUGUACCCGAAUAAGAAGGUCCGGCUAACUUCGUGCCAGCAGCCGCGGUAAUACGAAGGGACCUAGCGUAGUUCGGAAUUACUGGGCUUAAAGAGUUCGUAGGUGGUUAAAAUAGUUGGUGGUGAAAUCCCAGAGCUUAACUCUGGAACUGCCAUCAAAACUUUUUCGCUAGAGUUUGAUAGAGGAAAGCAGAAUUUCUAGUGUAGAGGUGAAAUUCGUAGAUAUUAGAAAGAAUACCAAUUGCGAAGGCAGCUUUCUGGAUCAUUACUGACACUGAGGAACGAAAGCAUGGGUAGCGAAGAGGAUUAGAUACCCUCGUAGUCCAUGCCGUAAACGAUGUGUGUUAGACGUUGGAAAUUUAUUUUCAGUGUCGCAGCGAAAGCAUUAAACACACCGCCUGGGGAGUACGACCGCAAGGUUAAAACUCAAAUGAAUUGACGGGGACCCGCACAAGUAGUGGAGCAUGUGGUUUAAUUCGAAGAUACGCGCAGAACCUUACCAACACUUGACAUGUUCGUCGCGACUUUAAGAG
rnacentral:rRNA from 1 species